GACGAACGCUGGCGGCGUGCCUAAUACAUGCAAGUAGAACGCUGAAGGAGGAGCUUGCUUCUCUGGAUGAGUUGCGAACGGGUGAGUAACGCGUAGGUAACCUGCCUGGUAGCGGGGGAUAACUAUUGGAAACGAUAGCUAAUACCGCAUAAGAGUAGAUGUUGCAUGACAUUUACUUAAAAGGUGCAAUUGCAUCACUACCAGAUGGACCUGCGUUGUAUUAGCUAGUUGGUGAGGUAACGGCUCACCAAGGCAACGAUACAUAGCCGACCUGAGAGGGGGAUCGGCCACACUGGGACUGAGACACGGCCCAGACUCCUACGGGAGGCAGCAGUAGGGAAUCUUCGGCAAUGGACGGAAGUCUGACCGAGCAACGCCGCGUGAGUGAAGAAGGUUUUCGGAUCGUAAAGCUCUGUUGUAAGAGAAGAACGAGUGUGAGAGUGGAAAGUUCACACUGUGACGGUAUCUUACCGGAAAGGGACGGCUAACUACGUG
rnacentral:rRNA from 1 species